rnacentral:rRNA from 1 species
UUCCAAAACAUGGCUUUUUGAUAAUAAUUUAAAGUCUGGCCUGCCCACUGAGUAUUUAAAGGGCCGCGGUAAUUUGACCGUGCUAAGGUAGCAUAAUCAUUAGUUUUUUAAUUGAAAGCUGGUAUGAAUGGUCGGAUGAGAAAAUAGCUGUCUCUAUUUAAUUUUUUUUGAAUUUUAUUUUUAAGUAAAAAAGCUUAAAUUAGAUUAAAAGACGAGAAGACCCUAUAGAGUUUUAUAAAAUUUUAAAUUUAAAUUUUUAGGAUUAUAACUUUGCAUUUAAAAUUUUAUUUGAUUGGGGCGAUUGAAAAAUUUAAUUAACUUUUUUUAUAUAAGAACAUUAAUUUAUGAAUUUUUGAUCCAUCAAUGUAUGAUUAUAAGAUUAAAUUACCUUAGGGAUAACAGCGUAAUUUUUUUUGAGAGUUCAAAUCGAAAAAAAAGUUUGCGACCUCGAUGUUGGAUUAAAAUUAAUUUUUGGUGUAGAGGCUAAAAAAUUAGGUCGCUCUACCAAUCCC